GGUGUCGGGCUCGAGCCAGAAGUUUGGAAAUGAAGCAUAAUGUUUGUCGACGUGCGGUCCUGGAGGGUUGACGUGCUUCUGACGUACGUGCUAUAAUCGAAUCUACUCAUUCAGGUCUGAGUGGUCUGACCGUGGUUAACGUGCUACUGACGUCCGUACUAGACCUGGGUUGACAUGCUCUUGAUGUACGUACCCUAAUCCAAAGGUAUGUCGCCCGAGGUAUGCGGAUUGAUCCAAGGUUUGAGUAGCGCGCGCUAUAUACCCCAUAGCGCGGGUAGACGGCGCUAUCUCCCUGCGCUAUGGGAAGUGGACCUUUAGGCGGAUCCGGGUUAGGAUCCGCCCAAAUACCCAAAUAGGAUUAGUAUUUAUAUAGAUUUCUCUUCUAAAUCUCACGAUUUCUCUCUAUUUCUCUCCAUUUCUCCCUAUUUCUAAAACUAUUGAUUUAACUUUAACUUGAUCACUAAUUAUUGUAUAUAUCUAGAAUUUUUUUAAAAUACACUUGGCACUAUGGAGGUGCUAUAGCGCGCUAUGGAGGUGCUAUAGCGCGCUAUAUCCCCAUAGAGCGGGUAGCCGGCGCUACACGCUAUGGCGCAACUCAAACCUUGGGUUGAUCGUAACCGUAUUGUGCGGACCACUCGAGAUGAUCACAAUGGUUCUUUGACUACGAAGAAGACAUAGCUCAGUGGCAGAGCUUUUAUCCCAAAGUGGAGUGGUGAGUGAAUCUGAUUUCCUCCUUGAGCUCAGGGUGCCAAGAAGUGCCAUGAGCCUUGGGCCAAAUCGACCAACCCAUGUGGGUUGGGUCUUCACGCGAUAUCCCCAUUUUCUAGGGGUAGGAUGAUGAUACAUAUUUUUUUCCCUUUUUAUUAGAUUGGGCCCUAAUUUCAUUUGGAUCCAAGGGUUGGAUCUUCUUUUAGGUUAAUUCUUAUUUAAAUGGAGUUGGGAAUUUUACUCAUUAACCCAACAAUAACCAUCAUAAAAUUAGUUGAAAAAUCUAUUAAAUUGAUCCUAGAAAGUAUCGGCUUUGAUAAACAUGACACCUCAUUUUCAGUUUUUGUUGACGGUUCUUUUUCAUGCAUUUUCUAAAUAGAUAGGGGAUGAAGGCAAGGUGAGUAGGUGACCCCAUCUCACCAUAUCAUUUGGAUUGUGAAUGGAGUAUCUUGUCCUUUCUUUGUAGAACAAAAUGAGGUGGAACAUUUUUCCACCUACACUCUAAAUGACACAAAAGUGCCAUCCCACCAAACUUAUGCAGAUGACUCAAUGAUUUUAACUAAACCACCAAUGUAGGUCCUUCCCCACCUCCGGGUUCAAGAUCCACUUAUUGGUCAGAUCUGAAAGCUUUAUCAUCUUAGUG
rnacentral:lncRNA from 1 species